AGAGUUUGAUCCUGGCUCAGGACGAACGCUGGCGGCGUGCUUAACACAUGCAAGUCGAACGGGAGUAUCGAAUAAGCUUGCUUUAGAGAUACUUUAGUGGCGGACGGGUGAGUAACGCGUGAGGAGCUGUCCUAUGCAGGGGGACAACAGUUGGAAACGACUGCUAAUACCCCAUAAGCCGAGAGGUAAAAGGAUUUAUCCGGCAAAGGAGGUACUCGCGUCCUAUCAGCUAGUAGGUGAGGUAACGGCUCACCUAGGCGAAGACGGGUAGCCGGCCUGAGAGGGCGAACGGCCACACUGGAACUGAUAUACGGUCCAGACUCCUACGGGAGGCAGCAGUGGGGAAUAUUGGGCAAUGGGGGCAACCCUGACCCAGCGACGCCGCGUGGGUGAAGAAAUCCUUCGGGAUGUAAAGCCCUGUUGUAUGGGAAGAGCAGAAGACGGUACCAUACCAUGAAGCCCCGGCAAACUACGUGCCAGCAGCCGCGGUAAUACGUACGGGGCAAGCGUUGUCCGGAAUUACUGGGCGUAAUGCGCACGCACGCUGAAUUAUAACUCGGUAGUCAAAGGCCGAGGCUCAACUUCCGUUUAUCUAUCGAUACUGUAAAACUAGAGUAUGUGAGAGGGAAGUGGAAUUCCCGGUGUAGCGGUGAAGUGAGUAGAUAUCGGGAGGAACACCAGUGACGAAUGCGACUUCCUGGCACAAUACUGACGCUCAUGUGCGAAAGCUACGGUAGCGAACGGGAUUAUAUACCCCGGUAGUCCUAGCCGCAAACGAUGGACACUAGGUGUUGGUGUCGUAUGGCAUCUGUGCCGGAGCUAACGCGUUCAGUAUCCCGCCUGGGGACUACGGUCGCAAGACUGAAACUCAAAGGAAUUGACGGGGGCCCGCACAAGCGGUGGAGCACGUGGUUUAAUUCGAAGCAACGCG
rnacentral:rRNA from 1 species